ensembl:lncRNA
UGCAUUCUUUGUUCCCUCAGUCAAUCCCCUGGAGCUGCAAGCGAGGACGUGCUGCACGGCAUGCUAAACACCAGGUGGCUGUGGUUUGGCAGGAGCAGACGAGAUAACAGGGACCUACUCAUGUGACCAUACCAGCUUGAAGGGAGGCUGGGAAACGAAGCUUUUUAGCUGGCAAAUCACAUGUCUGAAAAAAAAAAAUGGAGAAAAUGAAAUUGAGGCCAUCAGGAGGAUCUGCCACGAAAGGAUGCCAGGAGCCUCAGCGAGCCAAAGGGGAGCUGGAGAAACAGAGCGAAUGUUGGGCAGGACCCAGAGCCCUUCUGGGGACCAGGCAGAAGAAACGGAAUGUCGCAUUGGCAGCUUGAAAUUGGCCACGAAGGGAAUAUUUACGCCACGGAAACUGGCAAACCCUACAAAUGAGAGUUCUCCUCCCCGCCAGAGCCUGUUGUUAAACAUCCACCAGCACACCACUGUCCGCGUACCCGCUAUCUCAUGUGAUGAGACGUCAUGGUCAGGGUUUGGAAACAAAGGAGACAGGGACAUUUAAAACAAAGGCCAACAAAAUGGAAUUUAUUCUGAGCACCUGUUGAUUCUGCACCUGGUCUUCGCUUCCUCUGCUGAGACUCUUAACGCUCACGGCUGUAAUUUUUGAGCAUCUGUUAGAUACCAGGCAUAUGAAUUCAUAGUCUCUGGUCAUCAGUUUCAAGUUAGACAUUAUUAUGCCAUUUUAUGGAUCAGAAAUCGGAGGCACACGGAGGUUAAGCGACAGCCCCCAGGUCAAACCUUUGGCUCCCUGCCACACGGCCUCUUGUCUGGCUGGGUGUAUCUGUCUGGCCAGCAACUGUGUCAUCGGACAUGCUGUCACUUUAAAGUACAGUUGCUCUUCAUAUCUGCCUCUUCUGCGUUUUCUGAAAUGUCAUUUAUUCUUUGGCUUGAACUAUUCUCCUUUUCAUCUUCGCCGGCUUUAUGCUACUGCGUUGGACUAUGAUGGUGACAAAGCCUUUUCUUUAAAGUUAUCCAGUCAAAGCAAGUGGCAGUUUAUAACCAUCCCCAGAGAAUAACGCAUGUGACAACCCACAGGCGUUGCACGGACCUCAGGAGCAGGCUUGGGAGGAGUUCAUAAGCACCAGAGCUAGCAACAAGCUGCAGGGGAAAGGCCUGCCCCUACUCCCCGGAAGCUCACCCUCUGCGGAUGGCAUCUUGUCAUUCUCACAACAUCCUUGUCAACAGUG